AGUGAACGCUGGCGGUAGGCCUAACACAUGCCAGUCGAACGGCAGCACAGUAAGAGCUUGCUCUUACGGGUGGCGAGUGGCGGACGGGUGAGGAAUACAUCGGAAUCUACUUUUUCGUGGGGGAUAACGUAGGGAAACUUACGCUAAUACCGCAUACGACCUACGGGUGAAAGCAGGGGAUCUUCGGACCCUGCGCGAUUGAAUGAGCCGAUGUCGGAUUAGCUAGUUGGCGGGGUAAAGGCCCACCAAGGCGACGAUCCGUAGCUGGUCUGAGAGGAUGAUCAGCCACACUGGAACUGAGACACGGUCCAGACUCCUACGGGAGGCAGCAGUGGGGAAUAUUGGACAAUGGGCGCAAGCCUGAUCCAGCCAUACCGCGUGGGUGAAGAAGGCCUUCGGGUUGUAAAGCCCUUUUGUUGGGAAAGAAAAGCAGCAGGUUAAUACCCCGCUGUUCUGGCGGUACCCAAAGAAUAAGCACCGGCUAACUUCGUG
rnacentral:rRNA from 1 species